AAUCCAUAGGUUAAUGAGGCGAACCGGGGGAACUGAAACAUCUAAGUACCCCGAGGAAAAGAAAUCAACCGAGAUUCCCCCAGUAGCGGCGAGCGAACGGGGAGGAGCCCAGAGCCUGAAUCAGCAUGUGUGUUAGUGGAAGCGUCUGGAAAGGCGCGCGAUACAGGGUGACAGCCCCGUACACAAAAGCGCAUGUGCUGUGAGCUCGAUGAGUAGGGCGGGACACGUGGUAUCCUGUCUGAAUAUGGGGGGACCAUCCUCCAAGGCUAAAUACUCCUGACUGACCGAUAGUGAACCAGUACCGUGAGGGAAAGGCGAAAAGAACCCCGGCGAGGGGAGUGAAAAAGAACCUGAAACCGUGUACGUACAAGCAGUGGGAGCACCCUUCGGGGUGUGACUGCGUACCUUUUGUAUAAUGGGUCAGCGACUUAUAUUCUGUAGCAAGGUUAACCGAAUAGGGGAGCCGGAGGGAAACCGAGUCUUAAUUGGGCGUUAAGUUGCAGGGUAUAGACCCGAAACCCGGUGAUCUAGCCAUGGGCAGGUUGAAGGUUGGGUAACACUAACUGGAGGACCGAACCGACUAAUGUUGAAAAAUUAGCGGAUGACCUGUGGCUGGGGGUGAAAGGCCAAUCAAACCGGGAGAUAGCUGGUUCUCCCCGAAAGCUAUUUAGGUAGCGCCUCGUGAAUUCAUCUCCGGGGGUAGAGCACUGUUUCGGCUAGGGGGCCAUCCCGGCUUACCAACCCGAUGCAAACUGCGAAUACCGGAGAAUGUUAUCACGGGAGACACACGGCGGGUGCUAACGUCCGUCGUGAAGAGGGAAACAACCCAGACCGCCAGCUAAGGUCCCAAAGUCAUGGUUAAGUGGGAAACGAUGUGGGAAGGCCCAGACAGCCAGGAUGUUGGCUUAGAAGCAGCCAUCAUUUAAAGAAAGCGUAAUAGCUCACUGGUCGAGUCGGCCUGCGCGGAAGAUGUAACGGGGCUAAACCAUGCACCGAAGCUGCGGCAGCGAACGUAUCACCCAAGACAACUUUGCGGAGUUGACGAUUGACGGAGCGAAGCGACGUCAAAGCGUUCAUUAAAGUCGAGUUGGCUUAGGGAUACGUUCGUUGGGUAGGGGAGCGUUCUGUAAGCCUGUGAAGGUAUGCUGUGAGGCAUGCUGGAGGUAUCAGAAGUGCGAAUGCUGACAUAAGUAACGAUAAAGCGGGUGAAAAGCCCGCUCGCCGGAAGACCAAGGGUUCCUGUCCAACGUUAAUCGGGGCAGGGUGAGUCGACCCCUAAGGCGAGGCCGAAAGGCGUAGUCGAUGGGAAACGGGUUAAUAUUCCCGUACUUGGUGUUACUGCGAAGGGGGGACGGAGAAGGCUAUGUUGGCCGGGCGACGGUU
rnacentral:rRNA from 1 species